rnacentral:rRNA from 1 species
GACGAACGCUGGCGGCGUGCCUGAUACAUGCAAGUCGAGCGGACAGAAGGGAGCUUGCUCCCGGAAGUUAGCGGCGGACGGGUGAGUAACACGUGGGCAACCUACCCUGUAGAUCGGGAUAACAUCGAGAAAUCGGUGCUAAUACCGGAUAAUCAUUUGAAGUGCAUGCUUCGAAUGUAAAAGAUGGCUCCGGCUAUCACUACGGGAUGGGCCCGCGGCGCAUUAGCUAGUUGGUAAGGUAAUGGCUUACCAAGGCAACGAUGCGUAGCCGACCUGGGAGGGUGAUCGGCCACACUGGGACUGAGACACGGCCCAGACUCCUACGGGAGGCAGCAGUAGGGAAUCUUCCGCAAUGGACGAAAGUCUGACGGAGCAACGCCGCGUGAGUGAUGAAGGUUUUCGGAUCGUAAAGCUCUGUUGUUAGGGAAGAACAAGUGCCGUUUGAAUAAGGCGGCACCUUGACGGUACCUAACCAGAAAGCCACGGCUAGCUACGUGCCAGCCGCCGCCGUAAAAC